CAAUCUGCUGCGGUUGCAGCCUCAUGCAUUUGAGGAGAGGAGGUCCGGAGGAGGAACUUGUUUCUGCCAACUCACCUCUUCAUUGCCAUCUACCAGUUCCUGCCUUUCAUUAAGCUCUGAUGCACUUGGUUCCUGUUCCUUAUAAAUAAAUAAAAAUGUGUUAACUCAA